rnacentral:rRNA from 1 species
UACGUAGGGGGCAAGCGUUGUCCGGAUUUAUUGGGCGUAAAGCGCACGUAGGCGGAUCGUUAAGUCGGGGGUGAAAUCCUGGAGCUCAACUCCAGAACUGCCUUCGAUACUGGCGAUCUUGAGUCCGGAAGAGGUGAGUGGAACUCCUAGUGUAGAGGUGGAAUUCGUAGAUAUUAGGAAGAACACCAGUGGCGAAGGCGGCUCACUGGUCCGGUACUGACGCUGAGGUGCGAAAGCGUGGGGAGCAAACAGG